rnacentral:lncRNA from 1 species
CUCAUAAUCCACACAGUCAAAGGCUUUGUUGUCAUCUAUGAAGCAUAGACUGAGCUUCUUCUAAAAUUCUUUGGUUCGCUCCAAUAGCCAGCCAUUAUUUGCAAUAUGGUCUCAAGUGCCUUUUCCUAAAACUGGACCCACAAUUUCAAUGGAGGCAUGAAGGGUUUAUUAAAUUCCCCACCAAAACCAUUUAAGGACACAAUGCUUUCUUUGAGUUGUGAUGGCUGAGGGCCCAUAGGAUUCCAUGGAAGCCCAGAUUGGAAACACCUAUCAACUGAUUGUGUAUCUCCAUGUCAAGGUAAUACUAUUCAGGUACUGAUGAAUCUUGUCUGUUAACCGGGCUUAGAGGAGAGCUCCUAGCCCUGCUCCCUGUCAAUGCAAUGAUGAAGGAGCCUGAAGAG